AGCUUUGCACAGUGGCAGUAUCGUAGCCAAUGAGGUUCAUCUGUGGCAUGAUUAUUGCUAAUUGAAAUGAUCACAUUCU
ensembl:snRNA U4 U4 spliceosomal RNA